rnacentral:lncRNA from 1 species
CGUUGUACGCGUCACGGCGCGGCGGUAGGCCAGUCCGGCAGAGGUGGCGGGCGUGGGGGCAGUGAGGCGCGGCGGCAGGGGUGUCGCCGGCCGGGCGGCGUUGGAGGGCGGUUGGGUAGUGCUGGGGUGGGGGUGACGUAGCUGACGCUAGCAGAGGGAGGGGCGGCGUCUCCGGCGGUAGGGAUGGCGGUGGUGUCUCUGGUGGCUGGCGCGCCACCGGAGACAGAGAGGGCGGCGGCGAAUGAGGAGGGAGGGGCGGCGGUGGAAGGGCGGGCCUCGCCGGUGCCAAGUACGGUGUCAGUGAGGCAGCGAGGAGGAGGCAGCAGGCAGCGUCGAGGGAGGAGGCAACGGGCGGUGUCGAGCAGGGUUGGUGGGGGGAGUCGAGGGAGGAGAUAAGAUAGAGAAAGGGAGGGAGUUGAUCCGAGCCAUCGAUUUUAGAUCUAAUGGCUGAGAAAUUCGAGUGAGGAAGUUCUUCAUUUCACUUGGGUGAGGAAUAGAUUGUUCCCUUAUUUAAAUUGUUUUGUAAUAACAUAUAUAUGCAGAAAGAUGCUUAUUUUAGUAUAUUUUAGUGUUUGCUCGACAGAAGAAAUCCAGCAUGUUCUCUUUCAAGGCCUAAAAGUUACCACAUUAAUCAAAGAAAAAAGAAAAAGCAAAACUGUCCAACACUGACAUUAUCAAAAGAUCAACCAAAAACACUCCAUGUACCUAUUCAUAAAUUACCCACCACCAUUAUUCUCAAAAUAUUAAUCCAAAAUACAAUUAUACCUAUUUAUAUAUUACCAACAUUGCCAUUACGAAAAAAAUUAAACAAAAAAGGGAUUACACAUGCUUCCUUAUUAUUGCCUACCUCUAUCUACCAUUGUUAAAAAAAAAUGAAGUCAAUCGCUAGAAAAAAGAAAAUAAUAUAUUCUGAUUAAUGCAAACUCCUAUUGGCAAACACCAAACAAAAACAACACAACACAACCAGCGAGACCAGAACCUACAAGGAAUCCGAAAACCAAAC